rnacentral:lncRNA from 1 species
GUCACUAUAUCAUUUGUAAAACUACUUUGGAAAAAGAACCAGCCGUAUCAUCCAGAAGAUUCUUCCUGUCAUGUCUGCAAUGGCAAACGAAUUUUCAAAUCAACAAGAUGCAAGAAAGUCUGUUAGGAAACGACAAAAAGGUCUAUGUCAGAUCCUAAUUGGAAGAAUCAGGCUUCUCUUUUCAUGUUUAUCUAGGAAUAACAGCGCAGUGGUGGAUCAGUCUCCUUUAGACCCAUCCCUGGAAGCAGUUUCCUCCCCAAAGCAUAAACAGCACUUCAAAGGGGCAGCUGACCCAGUCCAUACGUCUGACCAUGCAGAUCUGCUGGGGGAGGCCAAGAAGACUCUGCAGACAGAGGAUGUGUGUUAUCCCCUGGCAACACUACCACCAUCUAGUGGAUUGGAUUCUCCUAGUGUUCAGUUCAGAGAAUUGGAUGCUCACCAGUCAGCAGGCAGGGUGCCAAAGGGAGAAGCUCAGGGCGAACUCAACCAAAGGGAGACUUUGCUGACAGAAGAUUUGGAUGAGAAAUUCAUGCAGCUGGAGAAGGAAAAAAGUCAACAGAUUCUGAUGAGUAUUGAGCAGAGCUUGUUGCAGAAUCCUCCAAUGGUUAGGCUGGAAGAAAAUGUGAUGAAACUUAAGAAAGAGCUCAGUGAAAUGGAAAUGGCAAAUCAAAUCAUGAAAACUCAGCUGAGGAAAGUCAUCCACAUCCAUGUAAGUUGAGAUAAGUGAGGUUUCUUCAGAAACUCAACCAGGGGUUUUGUUUGUCAGUAUUGUGGGAAGCUCCUCUAUUUCAUUUAAACAAACAGGUGCCCUUUUUGUUCUUCACUUAUGGGAAGUUCACUUAGGUCGCACGGAAAAAAAUUGUUUUUACACGUAAUUAGGGGAAAAUAAAAUAUUUAAAAAAGAUAUUUAAGUUUUGUUA